rnacentral:rRNA from 1 species
UACGAAGGGGGCUAGCGUUGCUCGGAAUUACUGGGCGUAAAGCGCACGUAGGCGGCUUUCUAAGUCGGGGGUGAAAUCCUGGAGCUCAACUCCAGAACUGCCUUCGAUACUGGAAAGCUCGAGUCCGGGAGAGGUGAGUGGAACUGCGAGUGUAGAGGUGAGAUUCGUAGAUAUUCGCAAGAACACCAGUGGCGAAGGCGGCUCACUGGCCCGGUACUGACGCUGAGGUGCGAAAGCGUGGGGAGCAAACAGG